rnacentral:rRNA from 1 species
GUCUAGUGGCGCACGGGUGCGUAACGCGUGGGAAUCUGCCCUUGGGUUCGGGAUAACAGUUGGAAACGACUGCUAAUACCGGAUGAUGUCUUCGGACCAAAGAUUUAUCGCCCAAGGAUGAGCCCGCGUAGGAUUAGCUUGUUGGUGAGGUAAGAGCUCACCAAGGCGACGAUCCUUAGCUGGUCUGAGAGGAUGAUCAGCCACACUGGGACUGAGACACGGCCCAGACUCCUACGGGAGGCAGCAGUGGGGAAUAUUGCACAAUGGGCGAAAGCCUGAUGCAGCGACGCCGCGUGAGGGAUGACGGCCUUCGGGUUGUAAACCUCUUUCAGUAGGGAAGAAGCGAAAGUGACGGUACCUGCAGAAGAAGCGCCGGCUAACUACGUGCCAGCAGCCGCGGUAAUACGUAGGGCGCAAGCGUUAUCCGGAAUUAUUGGGCGUAAAGAGCUCGUAGGCGGUUUGUCGCGUCUGCCGUGAAAGUCCGGGGCUCAACUCCGGAUCUGCGGUGGGUA